rnacentral:rRNA from 1 species
UGGUGGAGUGAUUUGUCUGGUUAAUUCCGAUAACGAACGAGACUCUGUCCUGCUAACUAGGUUGUGUUUUCUCGGGUUGGUGUCCUGGUGUUCCUUCUCGGGGCGCCGGCCCAAUCCACUUGUGAACACAACACUCUUCUUAGAGGGACUGGCGGCUGUUAGCCGCACGAGAUAGAGCAAUAACA